UGGGGAAUUUUGGACAAUGGGCGAAAGCCUGAUCCAGCAAUGCCGCGUGUGUGAAGAAGGCCUUCGGGUUGUAAAGCACUUUUGUCCGGAAAGAAAUCCUUGGCUCUAAUACAGUCGGGGGAUGACGGUACCGGAAGAAUAAGCACCGGCUAACUACGUGCCAGCAGCCGCGGUAAUACGUAGGGUGCAAGCGUUAAUCGGAAUUACUGGGCGUAAAGCGUGCGCAGGCGGUUUGCUAAGACCGAUGUGAAAUCCCCGGGCUCAACCUGGGAACUGCAUUGGUGACUGGCAGGCUAGAGUAUGGCAGAGGGGGGUAGAAUUCCACGUGUAGCAGUGAAAUGCGUAGAGAUGUGGAGGAAUACCGAUGGCGAAGGCAGCCCCCUGGGCCAAUACUGACGCUCAUGCACGAAAGCGUGGGGAGCAAACAGGAUUAGAUACCCUGGUAGUCCACGCCCUAAACGAUGUCAACUAGUUGUUGGGGAUUCAUUCCUUAGUAACGUAGCUAACGCGUGAAGUUGACCGCCUGGGGAGUACGGUCGCAAGAUUAAAACUGAAAUGAAUUGACGGGGUCAUAGCUG
rnacentral:rRNA from 1 species